rnacentral:lncRNA from 1 species
GCUAUAUAAGAUAAAAAUGAGAAAGACAAUAAAUUGUUCAUCGUCUUUAAAAAAGCAGGUUAUUAAUAGAUUUUUUGUAUAAGUUGUGAGAGUUUUUAUGAGAUUGUUAGAAUUGUAUGUAGAUUACGAAUUAUAUGUGAUUUUUUCGAUCAUAUAAGAGAAACAGAAAGAAACGGCAAAAGAUUUACACGCGACGCUGAGUUGAACAAAAUAGAAUUUUGGCUAAAUAAAUUUUUUGAUAGUAUCAUUUAAAAAAU